rnacentral:rRNA from 1 species
UACGUAGGGGGCAAGCGUUGUCCGGAAUCAUUGGGCGUAAAGCGCGUGUAGGCGGUUCGGUAAGUCGGCUGUGAAAUCCCUCGGCUCAACUGAGGAACUGCCUUCGAUACUGUUCGGCUUGAGUCCUGGAGAGGGUAGCGGAAUUCCCGGUGUAGCGGUGAAAUGCGUAGAGACCGGGGAAGAACACCAGUGGCGAAGGCGGCUACCUGGACAGGUACUGACGCUGAGGCGCGAAAGCUAGGGGAGCAAACGGG